UACAGAGGGGGCAAGCGUUAUUCGGAAUUAUUGGGCGUAAAGGGCGCGUAGGCGGCUUUGCAAGUGGACGGGUGAAAUCCCUCGGCUUAACCGAGGAACUGCCUGUCAAACUGCAUGGCUUGAGACCGGGAGGAGGUGAGUGGAAUUCCCAGGUGUAGCGGUGAAAUGCGUAGAUAUUGGGAGGAACACCAGUGGCGAAGGCGGCUCACUGGACCGGUACUGACGCUGAGGCGCGAAAGCGGUGGGGAGCAAACAGG
rnacentral:rRNA from 1 species